rnacentral:rRNA from 1 species
CUCAGGGAGGUAGUGACAAGAAAUAACAACACUGGAAAUUUUAUUUCUAGUGAUUGGAAUGACGGGAAUUUAAACCCCUUUCAGAGUAACAAUUGGAGGGCAAGUCUGGUGCCAGCAGCCGCGGUAAUUCCAGCUCCAAUAGCGUAUAUUAAAGUUGUUGCAGUUAAAAAGCUCGUAGUUGGAUGUCUGCUGGAAGCAAUCAGUCCGCCCUAUUUGUAGGGUGUGCACUUGAUGAAUUCUGGCAUCUAUGUCCUAAUGUGAUAGAUACGGCGGUGUAUAUGGGUUAAUCCUAUAUACCCGUCUUUGUAUAUUAUAUUGGGAUAAUACCGUUACUUUGAGAAAAUUAGAGUGUUUGAAGCAGGCUAAUUGCCUUGAAUACUGCAGCAUGGAAUAACAAUAUAGGAUUUCGGUUCUAUUUUGUUGGUUUCUAGGACUGAAAUAAUGAUUAAUAGGGACAGUUGGGGGCAUUCGUAUUUAACUGUCAGAGGUGAAAUUCUUAGAUUUGUUAAAGACGAACUACUGCGAAAGCAUUUGCCAAAGAUGUUUUCAUUAAUCAAGAACGAAAGUUAGGGGCUCGAAGACGAUCAGAUACCGUCGUAGUCUUAACCAUAAACUAUGCCGACUAGAGAUAGGAAAAUGUCAUUUUUCUGACUU